rnacentral:rRNA from 1 species
AACGUAGGAAGCGAGCGUUAUCCGGAUUUACUGGGCGUAAAGCGUGCGCAGGCGGUGAUGUAAGACAGAUGUGAAAUCCCCGGGCUCAACCUGGGAACUGCGUUUGUGACUGCAUCACUCGAGUACGGCAGAGGGAGGUGGAAUUCCGCGUGUAGCAGUGAAAUGCGUAGAUAUGCGGAGGAACACCGAUGGCGAAGGCAGCCUCCUGGGCCAGUACUGACGCUCAUGCACGAAAGCGUGGGGAGCAAACAGGAUUAGAAACCCCGGUAGU